rnacentral:tRNA from 1 species
GUUAAAUUGGCAGAUUAUUGCGUUAUAUUUAGAAUAUAUUUAAGAUUAAAUUAGUCAUUUAAUA